rnacentral:rRNA from 1 species
GUUGUUCGGAAUUACUGGGCGUAAAGGGCUCGUAGGCGGCCAACUAAGUCGGACGUGAAAUCCCCAGGCUCAACCUGGGAACUGCGUCCGAUACUGGAUGGCUUGAAUCCGGGAGAGGGAUGCAGAAUUCCAGGUGUAGCGGUGAAAUGCGUAGAUAUCUGGAGGAAUACCGGUGGCGAAGGCGGCAUCCUGGACCGGCAUUGACGCUGAGGAGCGAAAGCCAGGGGAGCAAACGGG